CGUGUUUUAGUUUAAUACCCCGAAACUAGGUGAGCUACUCCAAGACAGCUUAUUUAUAGAGCAAACCCGUCUCUGUGGCAAAAGAGUGGGAAGAUCUUCGAGUAGAGGUGACAGACCUACCGAACCUUGUUAUAGCUGGUUGCCCGAGAAUUGAAUAGAAGUUCAGCCUUUCAGGUUCUUCAUUAACCACCGUAAUACACCGUCAUUAGGACAAGAAACUGAAAGAGUUAGUCGAAGGAGGUACAGCUCCUUUGAAUAAAGACACAACUUUAUAGGGAGGGUUAAGAUCAUAAUAAGACAAAGGACAAGUAUUUAGGUGGGCCUAAAAGCAGCCACCCUGCAGAAAGCGUUAUAGCUCAAAUACCCCUCCUCCCCCUUUAUCCCGAUCAUACAUUCUUAUCCCCCCGCCCCUUACCGGGCCAUCCCAUGACAAACAUGGAAAAGACCCUGCUAAUAUGCGUAAUAAGAGAGCCAAGACUCUCUCCGUACACAUGUGUAACUCGGAUCGAACUAGCACCGAAUAGUAACGGCCCCAAAUAAAGAGGGUUGGGGACAACACUAAAACUAGCAAGAAAAGACUUCACAACUCUACCGUUAACCCUACACAGGAGUGUUCCCACGGAAAGACUAAAAGAGAAAGAAGGAACUCGGCAAACUAAUAAGCCUCGCCUGUUUACCAAAAACAUUGCCUCUUGCAAAAUUAACGAAUAAGAGGCCCCCCUGCCUGGGACUAUUUUGUUUAACGGCCGGGGGAUUUUAACCGCGCGAAGGUAGCGCAAUCACUUGUCUUUUAAAUGAAGACCUGUAUGAAAGGCUAGACGAGGGCUUAACUGUCUCCUUUCUCAUGUAAAUGAGAUUGAUCUCCCCGUGCAGAAGCGGGGAUAAUACCAUAAGACGAGAAGACCCUAUGGAGCUUCAGACACCAAGGAAGACCAUGUUCCCAACCCUCCAAUAAGAGACUAAACUAGUGGUUGCCUUCCCUAAUGUCUUUGGUUGGGGCGACCGCGGAGAACUACAAAACCCCCGCGUGGAAUGGGCACACCCGUUCCUUAAACUAAGAGCCGCAGCUCUAACUAACAGUAAUUCUGACCACCCUAGAUCCGGCAAAGCCGAUCAACGGACCUAGUUACCCUAGGGAUAACAGCGCAAUCCUCUUUUAGAGUCCAUAUCGACAAGGGGGUUUACGACCUCGAUGUUGGAUCAGGA
rnacentral:rRNA from 1 species